UCAAAAGUUCUUCACAAUAUGAUCGUUCCACAUAAUUUGCAGAUAUGCAUCCCUUGCACAACAGUCCUUCAUUUUUAAAGCUUAUUGAUGAAGAUGACCCGAUAUUUUUGGUGAAGAGCUUCUUUCAGACUCCUUCCCCUACAAGGAACUAUUGAAUGGGUUCCUAUGAGAAGUUGAAGAAAAGUUAUGGAUAAUGAAAACAAUGCUCCUUCGUUAUUAAAGUCGAUUGAGGACUAUGAUCCUAUAUUUUUCGAAUUGUUCGUCGACCAAAAACAGUUAUGGAUCAUGAAAACAACGCUCCUUCAUUGUUAAAGUUGAUUGGGGACUAUGAUCCUAUAUUUUUGGAAAUACCAUAUGAUUUUGCAACCUUAUUGUGGGGAGAACAACUUUCAUAUGUCAAUGUCUUAAAAUUAUUGAUGAUGAUUUAUCGUGAGUCAUUGAGUUAUAAUUUUUGUAUUUAGUUAGCUGUUAAUUCUUUAAAGAUGCCUUUGAUUUCAAUUUUAAAGUUGUUUUUGUUUCUAUAAACAGAUUACUGUUGUUAAAGAUUAUUUUUGUAUUCGGAAUUAUGAUUCGGUUUCUGUAAAUAGACUUUGUUUCUAUAAAUAUAUUACCAUUAUAUAUUUUUUAAAACAAUGGUUACUUCCUUUGCAGUUAUGGAUCCUAAAAACAACUCUCAUUCGUUGUUAAAGUUGAUUGAGGAAUAUGAUCCUAUAUUUUUGGUGUUUAUUUUGGAUGGUCCGGAGUUUUUGGCUGCAACUAUGUUGGACAGAGAUAUGCUUGCUAUUGCUGUAAAUUGGUACCAUGUCGGUUGGUUUUGCUUGGUAAGAUUUGUGACGAUAUGUCGGACAAACAACAUUGGGAAAAUAUACAGCCUUGAGCCUUG